AAAGUAGAGGCCAAUAAGCUCCAGUGAACAGACGCCCAAACAAACAUGCAGUGGCUGUAGAGUAGGAUCUUCUCAACACAGAAGCCAAAUACCUUGAGUAGCGGCCAGCGUGGAUUACCAGCACUUGAAUAACAAAACACAGAUGUCACCGAUAGGAUGGAUAAACAGGCUAUUAAAUCCUUCAUGGUGAAUGAAAUUGCAGGGCUUUCAGACUGAAUUUGUUGUGACAGGGAACUGGACCCAGUCCGUGUUGAAUUCUGGGUCUUAUGCUGUGUACUGAUCUGUCCUUCUAUAAAAAUGGUCAGCUUCUGAGCAGGCAGCACCAGAUCUAGCGUUUUCAUGUACCAUGUGCUGGAGCAAAUAUCUCAAACCAGGUAUGAAAACAUUAGGUUACUUACCGUAACCCUGGUUCCCUGAAAGAGACGACGACCAUAGAAGACUACGCAUGCGAUAUGCCUGCAUAUUGUAAUCCUAACCACCCCAGUGAGACCCUACCCCCCUGGCUCCUGGCCUCGAUUCCUGCCUCACCCAACGGGACAUAACUGCAAAGAGUUUGAUGUGUCGCUGCAGAAUGACAAGGGACUGAAGAAAGCCGAGUGUUCCUUCUGAAGAAAGCCGAGUGUACAUACCGACUGAAGUUCAAAUGUCUUGGUAAUAAUGCUAGUGCUGGACUUCAGUUGAGUGAAGAUGGAGAUGAAGUAUUGACAGAACAACAGAACAAUCCAAAUUGUUCGAUCUUUUCCAUACUUCUGUCACGCAGAGUAAACCAAAGUCAGAAAAAGAUGUCUACAACCAGAUUGUUGAUUACCAUCAUUAGUGUGUUAAAUCUCAUCCCGUUCUAUAGUCUGACCCAUGAAACUAAUAUGCUCUGGAUACGUGAACUUGAGAUUCCAUCGCACAAAAAAAAAAAUAAUUCCAAUUGCUUUAAGAAUAAGUGACUGAAUUCUAAUGAAGGUUAAAUAAUCUAAGCUGAACCGUUUGAGCUGUCUGUAUUAUGUGAAAUAUACA